UACGUAGGGGGCAAGCGUUGUCCGGAAUUAUUGGGCGUAAAGCGCGCGUAGGCGGCCUCAUAAGUCCGUUGUGAAAGUCAAAGGCUCAACCUUUGAAAGCCGAUGGAUACUGUGAGGCUAGAGUUCGGAAGAGGCGAGUGGAAUUCCUGGUGUAGCGGUGGAAUGCGCAGAUAUCAGGAGGAACACCAAUAGCGAAGGCAGCUCGCUGGGACGAUACUGACGCUAAGGCGCGAAAGCCAGGGGAGCGAACGGG
rnacentral:rRNA from 1 species